rnacentral:sRNA from 1 species
CUGGAUAUCCCGAUUCGGUUGCCCGA